GUCGAGCGAGCUUGCCUAGAUGAUUUUAGUGCUUGCACUAAAUGAAACUAGAUACAAGCGAGCGGCGGACGGGUGAGUAACACGUGGGUAACCUGCCCAAGAGACUGGGAUAACACCUGGAAACAGAUGCUAAUACCGGAUAACAACACUAGACGCAUGUCUAGAGUUUGAAAGAUGGUUCUGCUAUCACUCUUGGAUGGACCUGCGGUGCAUUAGCUAGUUGGUAAGGUAACGGCUUACCAAGGCAAUGAUGCAUAGCCGAGUUGAGAGACUGAUCGGCCACAUUGGGACUGAGACACGGCCCAAACUCCUACGGGAGGCAGCAGUAGGGAAUCUUCCACAAUGGACGAAAGUCUGAUGGAGCAACGCCGCGUGAGUGAAGAAGGGUUUCGGCUCGUAAAGCUCUGUUGGUAGUGAAGAAAGAUAGAGGUAGUAACUGGCCUUUAUUUGACGGUAAUUACUUAGAAAGUCACGGCUAACUACGUGCCAGCAGCCGCGGUAAUACGUAGGUGGCAAGCGUUGUCCGGAUUUAUUGGGCGUAAAGCGAGUGCAGGCGGUUCAAUAAGUCUGAUGUGAAAGCCUUCGGCUCAACCGGAGAAUUGCAUCAGAAACUGUUGAACUUGAGUGCAGAAGAGGAGAGUGGAACUCCAUGUGUAGCGGUGGAAUGCGUAGAUAUAUGGAAGAACACCAGUGGCGAAGGCGGCUCUCUGGUCUGCAACUGACGCUGAGGCUCGAAAGCAUGGGUAGCGAACAGGAUUAGAUACCCUGGUAGUCCAUGCCGUAAACGAUG
rnacentral:rRNA from 1 species